AGGACGAACGCUGGCGGCGUGCUUCAUACAUGCAAGUCGAACGAGAAUUUGGAGCUUGCUCCAAAGGAAAGUGGCGGACGGGUGAGUAAUACAUAGGGAAUCUGCCCUUAGCUGGGGGACAACAGUUGGAAACGACUGCUAAUACCGCAUAUGAGCUAACCUGAAAUGGUUAUCUUGAAAAACUCCGGUGGCUAAGGAUGAGCCUGUGCCUGAUUAGCUUGUUGGCGGGGUAAUGGCCCACCAAGGCGACGAUCAGUAGCUGGUUUGAGAGGAUGAUCAGCCACAAUGGGACUGAGACACGGCCCAUACUCCUACGGGAGGCAGCAGUAGGGAAUUUUGCGCAAUGGGCGAAAGCCUGAACCGCAGCAACGCCGCGUGUGUGAUGAAGCCCCUAGGGGUGUAAAACACUGUCAGUAGGGACGAAUUUUGACGGUACCUACAGAGGAAGCACCGGCUAACUCCGUGCCAGCCGCCGC
rnacentral:rRNA from 1 species